AUUGAACGCUGGCGGCAGGCUUAACACAUGCAAGUCGAGCGGGGAAAGGUAGCUUGCUACCUGACCUAGCGGCGGACGGGUGAGUAAUGCUUAGGAAUCUGCCUAUUAGUGGGGGACAACAUUCCGAAAGGAAUGCUAAUACCGCAUACGCCCUACGGGGGAAAGCAGGGGAUCUUCGGACCUUGCGCUAAUAGAUGAGCCUAAGUCAGAUUAGCUAGUUGGUGGUGUAAAGGCCUACCAAGGCGACGAUCUGUAGCGGGUCUGAGAGGAUGAUCCGCCACACUGGGACUGAGACACGGCCCAGACUCCUACGGGAGGCAGCAGUGGGGAAUAUUGGACAAUGGGCGAAAGCCUGAUCCAGCCAUGCCGCGUGUGUGAAGAAGGCCUUUUGGUUGUAAAGCACUUUAAGCGAGGAGGAGGCUACUUAGAUUAAUACUCUAGGAUAGUGGACGUUACUCGCAGAAUAAGCACCGGCUAACUCUGUGCCAGCCGCCGCCGUAAUAC
rnacentral:rRNA from 1 species